CUCCCUAUAUUCAAUUAUGAUACUUGAUUUGCAAUCAAAAGGUGGCCCUCUGCUUCUAUGC
rnacentral:tRNA from 1 species